rnacentral:rRNA from 1 species
GAUGAACGCUGGCGGCGUGCCUAAUACAUGCAAGUCGAGCGAAUGGAUUAAGAGCUUGCUCUUAUGAAGUUAGCGGCGGACGGGUGAGUAACACGUGGGUAACCUGCCCAUAAGACUGGGAUAACUCCGGGAAACCGGGGCCAAUACUGGAUAACAUUUUGAACCGCAUGGUUCGAAAUCGAAAGGCGGCUUCGGCUGUCAUCUAUGGAUGGACCCGUGUCGCAUUAGCUAGUUGGUGAGGUAACGGCUCACCAAGGCAACGAUGCGUAGCCGACCUGAGAGGGUGAUCGGCCACACUGGGACUGAGACACGGCCCAGACUCCUACGGGAGGCAGCAGUAGGGAAUCUUCCGCAAUGGACGAAAGUCUGACGGAGCAACGCCGCGUGAGUGAUGAAGGCUUUCGGGUCGUAAAACUCUGUUGUUAGGGAAGAACAAGUGCUAGUUGAAUAAGCUGGCACCUUGACGGUACCUAACCAGAAAGCCACGGCUAACUACGUGCCAGCCGCCGCAGUAA